ACCCUCUACAGGGAGUGAGACAUGCAAAUAGGACCCUACCCUCUUCUUAUAAAAACCUUCACUGAACCUGUUCCUGCAGCUCUAGGAGAGGAGCCCAAGUCACAGUUGCUGUGCUGUUCCCAAGAAUCUGUGAGAGCAGUCACCACAUCAUGAAGUUUAAACUGAUCUGGGCAUUCCUUCUCAUCCUUUUGCAAGAUGUCCAUUGUGAGGUGCAGCUGGUGGAGUCUGGAGGAGACCUGAGAAAACCUGGGGGUUCUCUGAAGCUCUCCUGUGUAGCCUCUGGUUUUACCUUCAGCAAUUACGGCAUGAACUGGAUCCGUCAGUAUCCUGGGAAGGGGCUGGAAUGGGUGGCACUUAUAUGGCAUGAUGGAAGUAAAAAAUACUACGCAGGCUCCGUGAAGGGCCGGUUCACCAUCUCCAGAGAUAAUUCCAAGAACACACUGUAUUUGCAAAUGGACAGCCUGAGAUCAGAGGACACAGCCAUGUAUUACUGUGCAGUGGCACAGUGAAGGGAAGUCAUUGGGAGCCCUGACAAAAAUCUCCCUCCAGCAGACAGGAGAGAUCUGGGCUCUAGGGGGUGUUCAGUGCCCACCGAGUAG